rnacentral:lncRNA from 1 species
CCAGAUUUCAAGCCUAGGAAAAGUAAAUGUCUUACUGGUUGAAAUAAAAGGAAUAAAAAAGGCUACCAGUGCAAAUGGUUGUACUGCAUAUUGCUUUACAACAGCAGCUAUUGUAGCAGUCGGACUAGGUGCAAUGCAGAAGGAAUGAACUUGAGAUGAUGGCACAUGAUGGCAGUAAAUUACUGAAGAGCCCACUUGCCUCCUCUAUCAUCAAAGAGCACAAUAACUGGCUACUGCAAGAAUUUAGUCUAACCCGAAUGACAGCCACAGACAAACUGCAUUAAAUGUAGGCACACAUAAUAACGAUGCUUAAGGAAUAAAACCUGUAUCUCUGUGCA